AGCCCUUUCUUCUAAAUCAACAACCCUAACCAAAACGUUCCUCUCUCCUCUCUCUUCAACCUAACCAUGGCUGCCACCCCUUCCACCCCGUCACGUCCGUCACCUCACCACCACCACGCCCAUAUCCCACAAAAUCCGCUACCUACGCCCCUCUUCUCUUUUCUCACACUCCAUCUCUGAAGUUUGCAGGAACCAUGUGCGAUUUCAGCGGAUUUUGGGCUUCUCAAGCGGAUUCGGAGACUCGACGACGUUAGCCUCAGUUCGCUGUCACAAAGAUGGUCGGUGUCUCUCCUUUCAUCCUUAUUUAUUUAUGGAAACUUGAAUAUGUGAAAGUCCUAGGGUCCUUGUUUGGAUUGAGGUUUUUCUAUAUAGCUUCAGCUAUGUGGUUGUUUUAGUCGAUGCCCGUCCCUUUAUUUUCAUUCCAUUCUGAUUCAUGUAAUUAAAUUGCAGAAGUUUGAGCAUGUGUUGCUAAAUUUAAAUUCUGUUUUUUAGGUGUUUUUCUUGAAAUAUGUUUUCAUUAUUCUUUAUAGAAAUCAGCAUAUUAAGUAACCUGAGGAGUAUUGCAAGUCAUAAGGGUAUAUCAAUAAUACUUGGAGUAAAAUGACAUAUGAAUGUAUGAUCGCUUGAAUAUUUAGUUGUUUGUCGAGUAUGUGUUAGUUAGCAGCUCUGCUUCUCUCUGUCACUUCGAUUCUUAAAGUUGUGAAGCCUUAGCCUUUGUUGUUUUAUUUAAGCAAAUUGAUAUUCAGUAUGUUUAUAUUUUGACGCUGGUCAUUUUUUCGAGUCGUCGUUUGCUGCACCUUGAACUUAUGUAAAAAACUAGGUUCUGCGAUCUUUAAUGAGUAUCCUGUUUUCGAUCUGCUAGAGCCAUGUUCUUUAUCGAAUUCUACUUCUGGAAUCAUGUCUCAAGGCUUAUCUUUUAGAUGUGUUGAACCAGCACUAUUCUUAUAAUUCUAUGCUGUAUUUUAGUAAACCGCGUACUAAGCUUCUUCUUUUUCCUUGUUUGGUGGUGUUUGAACAUCAGAUUAAGAGCAUGAGUGUAGUUUCUGCCCUUUUUCUUAGUUCGAGUCUGUCCUGUUCAAAUGUUUUCAAGAAUCAAGCUUUAAAAUCUCUUUCUUUAGUUAAGGUUUUGAGUAUACAAAUUCUAUGCUUGCUUUAUUUUUCCCUUGCUAAUUAGAUACUGGUUCACUAAAAGAAUAGAAACAUGUAAUAAGUCAAGGAUGCUUUGUUUUUCAUCAGGGAGUCAUAUCAGCAAGUUUAUUUGCAAUUUUUACAUCAUGUAUGCCUUCUCACAUUCUUAGUUGUUAAAUUUGUAUACCAUGCCCUGUUAAGAAGUAUAACUCUUAAUCUAGAUCUCAUUUAUUUUCUCAAAAGUUUCAUUUUGAAGUUCAAAGAAAUAAUAGUCCUCCUUGUGUAUCUGUUAAUCCCACUUGUUCCCUGCUAAUAGUGUGAGACGACUUAUUGGUCAAAGGAUAUGGUUGAAAUACAAAUUGUUUCACUUUUAUAAUAAGAAGUUAGUCUAUAUUUGGUUAAUGUGACUAGAGAAGCCUAGUAAAACUUGGCUGCUACAUUAUCCUUAUCAAUGGCUGUAAUAUUUUGGCCAAACAGCUUGCUGUUUUGGGCAUGUAUUAUGCUAUCUUUUGAAAGUUGUCAUACUUUAAUGGAAAAAAAAAAGACAUUACUACUGCUACAUGUCGCUGUUACUUGCAUUUGCUGUGUUUAAGAUAAAUCUUGCCAGGUUUUGGGAUAAAGCUGUUGCAUUCAUUAAAAAGAAAUAGACUCACACUUGAUUAAGGGAUUGGUUUGGCAUUUGCUGCUGGUUCUGGCCUUGGCUACUGUUUUGAUAUAAAAAAGCUACUGUUUUUUUUACUAGGUCACCUACUGUUUUUGGGUUAAAAAAUUUGCUGUUUUUGAUAUAAAAAAGCCACUGUUUUUUUUUUUUCUAAAACAGCUACUGUUUUUUUUGGGGUGUUUUGGUUGGGGAAAAUUACUGGUUUAAGGUAAAAAAAAAAAAAAAAAAAAAAACUGGAAUCUGUAUUUUCUUUUAGAUAAGUUCCGAGUGUUCAAAUGGCCAUGUUCUCUUAGUCUCUGAAAUGGUUAAAACUCAUCCCAACGUACCGGUUGCGCUUAAAAUAGGUUAAUUAGCAUGUAAAUGCACCUCUCUUGUGUGGUUAAAAUUCUUGCUUUUUUUUUUUUUUUAUAAAAAAAAAACCAUCUUUUACUUCAAAAGUGAUGUGUUAGUCUAGCUAAGAAAAUAAAUUGUUUAGGUGUAUCUUUUCUAGAAUACGGUCAUCUCGUUCGUUAGAAUCUUUAAUAUCUAUGUUGCACAUCUAGAACAAACUUAGACUUGAAAACGAGCCUUCGGUCUAUCCUUUGAUAUUGUUUCCUGCUCAAAUCAUGACUUGGGGAAUUUUGCUUAUCUAAACAUGAAAGCCAAACUUGUGUUGAGAAUCUGGAAAUAAUGGCUGUCAACUCUUUCUCUAGAAAAACCUUUGCAUAACGAGUACGCGCCAAACAUAAUUUCUAUGCUAAAAUCUGGUUCAGCGUGUUGUGUGUUCCGGUAUGUUUUAUGGGUUAGAAAUGAAGUCCUAGGCCUUGAAAUUUUACAUUAACAGCGGGCCAUUACAUAUUCAAGUUAGAUCACAUCUGUUAGCUUUUCUUACGGGUUAGGCAUGCUUUCAUCCUUCCUUCUUUGUUGUGAUUCAUACUGGCUUUGCUCUAAGUUUAGUUGGUCUAUAGUGUUAUACUCAGUCGGAAUGGAUCCCUAGCAUUGUUGCAAAUAAAUUGAGGUGCUGACUGGGUGUGAGAAGAAGAGUCCUUACUUAAAUGAAUAUGUCCCAAAGGGGAAAUCCCAAACCUCCACACCAUGUCUCUCAUGUGGAUUCAUAAUUGUCCUCCUGAUACUUUUACUAUGGAACCCUUCCACAAGAGAAUCAACAGUACUUCCCAUUCGUAGUUUUCAGCGGAGGCAUUUGUACUUGUGGAUUGGGAUAUGACUCAACUAGUGAUGACCAUAAGAUCCUUAAGAUUGAUCUCACAGCAUGCAGUGAAAUUCUAGUGUUGAAACAUGGUUCCUGGACAAAACUUUGAUAAACAUCCGAGUAUCCUACUGGCACUUAUCCUGUGUUGUCUAAUAUGGACUCUUUGGCAUUUGCGCAUGGAGCAUUUCAUUGCCUUGAUUUGUCAGUGAAUAAUUUUGUGGUUUCAUUGAAUUUCAAAUGAGGUGUACGGACAGAUACUGUUGCCAGUGAAAUUCUAGUGUUGAAACAUGGUUCCUGGACAAAACUUUGAUAAACAUCCGAGUAUCCUACUGGCACUUAUCCUGUGUUGUCUAAUAUGGACUCUUUGGCAUUUGCGCAUGGAGCAUUUCAUUGCCUUGAUUUGUCAGUGAAUAAUUUUGUGGUUUCAUUGAAUUUCAAAUGAGGUGUACGGAGAGAUACUGUUGCCAGUGGAGUUGUUGUUGAUAUAUUUAGGGAUGUUCAUGGUUCGGUUUAAUUUUGACCUAUAAAGAAGGCAAAUAUCUGUUGCCAUUGAUGUGAUUCUGAUAGCAAUAGUGCUUCCUCCGUUCAUUUUGUGGCUUGACACUGUCCACAAACUGCUAUGCAAAAGUUUCCAUAUCUGAGGGCAGUGACAUGAGCAGAUUUGAGCCAUUUUGCUGCUGCAAUUUGAGGCCAACGCUGCUGCGUUUUUUGGCCAUUUUCUACUGUGUUUUAGGCCAUUUUCACCCCAUUUUAGGACUGAUUUACUGCCUGCAUUUUGGCCAACUGAUUGCUGUGUUUUUGAGGGUGAAAAUGCCACAUUUUUGAAACAUUUUGGGGGCAAAAAAUGCUGCUGCACAUUUGAGCUGAACUGUUACCACGUUAUUGUGCCAAAACGUUGCUGCGCUUUAAGGCAUCGUGUACCACAUUUCGAUGAAAAUGGUUGUUGUUACACUUGAUAAGUAUAGCUACUGAGGUAUCUUUGGCUAAUUGUUGGUGUCUAGCUGAAACGGAUGUUCUUUAAGAGGCUACACUUGGUUUGCAACUGCUGCUAUAUUUGUGGCUAAGCUGCUGUUUUAAAAAAGAAAUGGAUAUUGCACUUGAAUUGCUGUCUAAGAACAAUUGCUGCUACUUGAGCUAAUUCAUUGGCAUGUGCUGAAGGGAAGAAUAGAUACUACAUCUUGAUAUGCCUGCUACUACAUUUUCUAAAUGCUCAAGGCUGCUAAGCAGCUGCUGCAUCCUUUUUUUUUUAGAUCACAUACUACACUGAUCUGAACAGUUGCUUCAUCCCGAUAUUUUCAGCUGCUACGCUUGGUGAAGAAUCCUUCUGAUCUGAACUUGAUACUACGCUUAGGGCCGAUGAAGAGUUGUUUAACUUGAGGCCUCACUUCUAAAAGAACGGAUUUCCAUACUUGAUUGAAAGUUAACUGAUUUGAACACUUAAAACUUGCAUAAAAAGGGAGUGGGACUGCUAUACUCAAGUUCGGGUGUAAUUAAUAUGCUAAAUUAUUUUUUCCUUAUAUGUUAUUUUUUUUCUUGCAUUCGAUUCUUUUAUCUAGCUUUUAAUAAUUAGAGUUAUAUGGAUUCCUUUUUUUCUUGUUGAGAAUUAUUUCUAAUCCUUAUCUUUAUUUUUUUUCUUUUUCAUGAGCAACUUUGGGAGCAUUUGGAGUUCUGGCAACUCUGGAUUUUGCCCAUAUCAAAGAGCGGCCAGCAGCAGAUUUAUUUGCUCGUGUCUAGCAGUCCGACCUCGUCCACGUCUCGAGUCUCCGUCCUUCUUCCUUAUUCAAAAUUUCAAACCUCCAUAGUGUUUGAUACAUGCUAUUUAUAUUAUUUGACUAACACUCUUGUGAAUUUGUAUUUUUGUAGUUUUGUAGUUUUGUUUUGAACACAUAACUUGACUUAAGUAUAUUAGAUAUUGAACUUAGUGUAUUUAUUCG